GCAUUGGUGAUUCAGCGGUAGAAUGCUCUCCUGCCACGCGGUAGACCCGGGUUCGAGUCCCGGAAAAUGCA